GUACCCCUUUAAGGUUGGUACCGUACUUGAGAGGCUAACACAGAAGGGUAAAGGAACUCUCUAUAAAACCCAGAGAGGAGACUGUAUGCCUCCUCUUUGGAUUCUGUGUGGGAGAAAAAC